UGGGGAAUAUUGCGCAAUGGGGGGAACCCUGACGCAGCCAUGCCGCGUGAAUGAAGAAGGCCUUAGGGUUGUAAAGUUCUUUCGGUAUUGAGGAAGGUUGAUGUGUUAAUAGCACAUCAAAUUGACGUUAAAUACAGAAGAAGCACCGGCUAACUCCGUGCCAGCAGCCGCGGUAAUACGGAGGGUGCGAGCGUUAAUCGGAAUAACUGGGCGUAAAGGGCACGCAGGCGGUUAUUUAAGUGAGGUGUGAAAGCCCCGGGCUUAACCUGGGAAUUGCAUUCCAGACUGGGUAACUAGAGUACUUUAGGGAGGGGUAGAAUUCCACGUGUAGCGGUGAAAUGCGUAGAGAUGUGGAGGAAUACCGAAGGCGAAGGCAGCCCCUUGGGAAUGUACUGACGCUCAUGUGCGAAAGCGUGGGGAGCAAACAGGAUUAGAUACCCUGGUAGUCCACGCUGUAAACGCUGUCGAUUUGGGGGUUGGGGUUUAACUCUGGCGCCCGUAGCUAACGUGAUAAAUCGACCGCCUGGGGAGUACGGCCGCAAGGUUA
rnacentral:rRNA from 1 species